rnacentral:lncRNA from 1 species
CCAUAAGUAUUGAUGCAUUAAAAUUAGCAAAAAUUAUAACAAACUAUACAAAAAAAGUGUAAAUAAAUCAUGAAUGUAACUAGCAAUUAAAGAACAUUGAAAUAUACUAAACAAAGAAUGAAAGAUCAAAAUAAUCUACUAAUAGAUAUAGACACAAUCAAGCCUACAUCAUAAUAGAAUUACAGACAAAUUACUAAUAGAUCCAUAUCAUUCCCUUGGCUCUGACAAGAUCCACAACAAUUGGUUCCUUCUUUCACUACUAUCUUCCCUGAAAAUAGCCAGCAUCCAUCCAUAAAUUAAAUCCAAAAAGUAUUGACUAUUUGUAAUAACUAUAUGCAUGGAAACAAAAAUGAAUCUAUGUUCCUCAAUUCAUUACUGAAAACUUGACAGUAAGCUUUUCUAAUUUCAAAACCCGACUUGAGCCUCAAAUGAAGCCUAAUUUAAAUACAUUUAAACACAUUUACGUGAAUCAUUGAGAAACAUAUACUCCAUAUCCUACAUAUGUCAGAACUUAUGGCUAAACAAUAGUCACUAAAUAUUUGUAGAAUCAUAUAUUAAGUGUGUGUGUGGGGGGGGGGGGGGGGG